UGAGGAAUAUUGGUCAAUGGGCGAGAGCCUGAACCAGCCAAGUAGCGUGCAGGAUGACGGCCCUAUGGGUUGUAAACUGCUUUUAUGUGGGGAUAAAGUGCGUGACGUGUCAUGCAUUGCAGGUACCACAUGAAUAAGGACCGGCUAAUUCCGUGCCAGCAGCCGCGGUAAUACGGAAGGUCCGGGCGUUAUCCGGAUUUAUUGGGUUUAAAGGGAGCGUAGGCUGUCUAUUAAGCGUGUUGUGAAAUUUACCGGCUCAACCGGUGGCUUGCAGCGCGAACUGGUCGACUUGAGUAUGCAGGAAGUAGGCGGAAUUCAUGGUGUAGCGGUGAAAUGCUUAGAUAUCAUGACGAACUCCGAUUGCGCAGGCAGCUUACUGUAGCAUAACUGACGCUGAUGCUCGAAAGUGCGUGUAUCAAACAGG
rnacentral:rRNA from 1 species